AGAAUGUGGAGCUAAGCUGAAAGGAAGUCUGGAAGAUAGAAGAAACUACGGUCCAUUCACUUAAGUUGGAUCCCCAGCAGGGGCUUUAUACUUAGACAGGCUGGUAAGGACACUGCUGAUUGGGUGCUGGCAGGCUGUAUCUGACAUCUGUCACCCACCAUCCUCAUGUAAGUUCAGAAAAUACUCAUAUUUCUAUACUUGAUCCACUUGUUGCACAUGGGAAAAUUUUGUUUAUAGCACUGGAUUAAGCAGUGGUUUUGUACUUGUUACAUUAUUUUUAGAAUGUAAUUGGGAAUAAAGUAUAGGCCAUUAUAAAUCAGAGGAUAACAAUAUUGCACAACUUUUACUUAUUGAAAUUUGCAGCAUUUUGUAAUUUUAGAGUAAUACUGGCUAACAGAAAGCAAAAUGCUGCAAAAGGUUGUGGAUGAAUUUGAGAGGAUGUAGAAGAGAAGGUUGACAGUAAAUGUUUAAGAGUAAGGUUAUGGUGUUUGAGAGGCAAGAGAGAAGAUCAUAGUUUCCAAAACCAUAUAGAGUCAGAGCAGAGAGCACAACUGUGUAAGAUAUGGUUAGAAGAGGAGACGGAGAAAGUAAUUGAGUUUAAGGGAUAGUUUAAUGAAAGCAUGGAGGGAGAGAGCAGUGAAUGGCAGGCAGGUGCUUUGGAAAGAGUAAUGAAAGAAAGAAGUGUGAACAUGGGGGUGAAAAAUGGUAUAAGAAGUAGUAUUAUCCUCCCAACUCAGCCAUAUGCAUCAGAGACAUGGUCAUGAAAGGUAGCACAGCAGUCAUGAAUGCACUCUGGAAAUUAACUAUAAAAAAGUAUACAUGUGGUGCGUUGGGAUGGGGAUGCAGAAAGCAAGGAAAGCAUGUAUGAGAGAUUUAUUAUGGGUGUAACAGCAAAGGGUGUGGAUCGUGAAGUGGUUGAAUGGGUGAGACGUGUAGGUCUGAGUUGGUUUGGAAAUGCGACGAGAAUUAAUGAGGACAACGUUGUGGAGAGAGUAUGAUGGAAUGAUUGAGGGAGAGGGUGUUAGGGGAAGACCACCUGUGUAAUGGAUUAAUAGAGUGGACAAGUAUUGGAGGGAGCUUAAGUGAAUGGACUAUACUUGGUCUUCAGUUGUAAGGUAACUGGAGAGAGUGGAUAAAUUAGGUUUUGAGUGUGCUGGGAGGGAGUGCUGUAACAGGGAAAACUGAAGACCCUUGAGAGGUUCCUGUGAGGGAACAGGGCAUAGGAGAUAUAGAUAGAUACAGAAACCCCUCUUCAAUACUCUGGCACUUCAGGUUUUAGAUAGUGCAAUAUAAAAUGAUUUAUAUUUUUUCUUAUCGAUUUAAAAAUAUUUGUAAUUGUACACUUACUGCUUAAUCCAAUAAUGUAAAUAAGAUUUGCCUAAUUAAUGUAACAGGUGAGCUAAGUAAAGAAAUAUAAAUGUGUAGCAAGCUUAUGUGGGCAUGUUGAGUGCUGGAGCAUUCAGACACCCUGCCACCAACACCUGAUCAGCAGCAACCUUACCUGCCUGGCUAGAGGAGUAGAGGUAGAACCACUGUUGGGGGAUCCAGCUCAAGUGAAUGAACUAUGGUUGGUCUUCAGAUGUGUGGUAACUGAAGAGUAGGGAAGGACCAGAUGCAUGUGCAGUGUACUGCAGACCCUGGCAAAUGUGGCUCCCAUCCAAGAACGUGAUCCCAGGCAGUCAGGUCUCCCAAGAAGCUGUCUUAACCUGUUGGGGGAGAAUGAAAGAUUGUCAACUCACACAAGCACUUUCUUUUACAGUAAAAUGUUAAUUUUAAUUCACUUUUUAUGGUUAAAAUGUGGUUUAAUUAUUUCACAUGCUGUUGGCAGGCAGUGUCUUGACAUCCCCAUUGCUCUUUCACAUAUUUCUAACUUAACAUGUACUAUGCAAGAUACACCCAUUUUGUUGACAUUCAAUUAAUCAGUGAUGAAUUAUGAUGAGUAGGAGUAACAUUUAUCAAUAUAUGCAGCAAUUAGAAUACAUUAGAAAUUUAAUUUUUCUCGUACACAAACUAACCAUGAUUGCAAACAGGGUUGGUGAUUUAAUCAAAUUAUUUAAUCAUUUUGAUCAAAUGAUUUAAUCAUUUUGAUUUAAUUAUUGCCAACCCUGAUUGCAAAUAAUUGUAGCAAUCCGAUUUUGAGUAAAAUGUGAUACAAGGAAGUGUUAUGAGUAUUAAAUGUUGCAAUUGUAAUAUUAUCUCAUCGCAGUUACUAUUCUUUGAGAGAUUUAAGAAUUUUUCUGAACCUAGUAACUGUGUUGAGUGAUGAAGAUGCGAGACACCCAGCCAGGGAUCCAGCUGAAGUGAAUGGACGAUAUGGUAUUACAGGACCAUAACACUACAUUCAACUCACGGACGAGAUUGGAUAUGCGUGACCGCACUGCCCCGAAGCUGACUGGUAAACGAGCCUUGGCGUUUGAUGCAGGCGGGAGAUCGACUCGCCAAACCUCUGUUCGAACGAGCAAGCGAACCCCGCCUUCUUGAUAGUUCAGAAAACAGAUGGUUGUUUGAGUAGUUGUUAAGUGGUUUAAGUAGUGUUUAAGCAGAGGAGACUUCCUAUGUUUCGGCUCACAACUUGUAAAAGGCAUAACGGCAUAUCAACAUCUUUAUACUAUACCUACGUGUCAGACCAGCUAUAUUAAUUGAGUUUGUAACAAUUGAAUGAUUUACAGGAAUAGAUGAAGCAAUCUAAUUUGAUAAAGAAACAACGGUAUGGUAAACCAGCCAAUUUAAGUGAUAGCACCAACCACGCAAAUACAGUAACCAUCCAUACAUGAAUUCUAAUACUCAAUAGCAAAACAUGAAUAGAUGAAAAAUGUCCACUAAAACACCAUUCCCGCAAAACAACUAAAUAAAAAAGUACUUCUAGAGUUGAAAUGGAGAAUUACACUAAACAAACCUGAUUAACUAUCCUAAACUCAUCAUAUUAUUUCAUUCAACAUUAGUCUGGUUGUCAUUAUAGUGCUCAUUCUUAAUUACAAGAAACCUAGGGAAACGGGUAAUUAUCUCUCAUUCCCUUUUUCUCUUUUCUUAACUUCUAUUUCUGAUUCUCUCUUUCUUUCUUACUCCUCUGUUUGACCCUUUCCCUGACAAUACCGUCGCACACCACUCGUUUCUGAGCUACUUUAUUUCUUUAGAGGAGAUUGGAUCGGCAGUAGAUUAAUCAUUAGCUUCAAUGGCCUUCCUAUGUCUGUAUGUAUUUCUUCCUGUCUACGUUACCUUGAGCUGUGUCCUUUACUGUAGGAAGAAGAAAAAAAGAUAGACUACUGUUAUUUUAGAGGUGACCGGUUUACAGUUUAGCAUAUAUUACUAACUUGAGGUGAUGCUGACCUACAACUAACUCCCAACAAAUUACAUAAAACCUUUGUGAAGAUUGAAACUUGAUAACUUACUACUUGCCUUGUUAGUCCAUUGCCUAUUAACUUUCACCCCCAACAGACGUAGCCAUUUUUUUCAAGACAUGGCAUUAGUAUUUAUGAAGUUAUAUGGCUAAUUAAUUUGCCUUUUUAAUUACCUUUUUGGGACAGAGGUAGUUUGAGGUGUUGGAUUUCCACAAGUUGGCAUGAUAGGAAUGCAGUCAUAAAAAGUUAUAUAGAAAAAUCAAUAAAACUGAAAAAAAAGUGUAAAAAAAGAUAUAUCAAGCACAUUAUUGAUGACCAAUAGGAUUUAAAAAAAAAAAAAAAAAAAAAAAAAAAAAGACUAGAUACAGCCAUGCCACCCUAUAACCAUGAAAAUCUAAGUCCCCAUCAGUCCUUCUACACAGCAAUCCAAACCUUGAAGCACACUUCACACUAGGUCAGCCUGGCGUGGCGUUUACAACUUUUUUUUUACCAUGACCGGUGUCUGUUGAGUUCACUAAACAUCCUUCACCCAUUAUAGGACUCCUGGAUAAUUUGUCAAAAUUUCCCAGCAACAACAAAAAGGUUUAGAUGAACUUAAUUUACUCACACACCAUAUGGUAGCUCUAUAUAUAUUUUAGUACCUUUUCAGCUACACUAGACAUAUGAAUAAUUGGAAAUUACUGUCAGCCAUACAUUUAAUCAUUUAGUAACUUGAGAUGAUGCAAAACGGUGGUUUCGUUUUCUUUCCUGGCAAGGAUAUCUUCUCAAAACUACUUAUGCACACAAAAAUGAAAGUAAUAAGUGAAAGACCCUUAAUGAUAAAAGUUCAAAAAAUCUCUACACCUAUAAUGCUGGCCAUCAAGAACAGUAUUGAAGGUGGUCAGUUAAUACCUACAGUAUGGAAUUGAUAUGUAACCUAACUAAUUAUGCAUUCAAAUUAAUGUUACUAAAUAAUUCAUUUAAAAAGGUUUCUAAUGUUAGCUAAUAAGAACAGAAGUUAGAUCUCGCAUCCAACAAUUAAACACAUCUAAAGAAUUUGCAUCUAAUGACACUAUUAUACCUCUACCAGUAUUCAUAUCUUACGAAGAAAUUUUGAAUCUAAUGAAAAGAUACUAGUUGAGUUAUUCAAUUACAAUUUAAGCACUUUCCUCCAUUAUAUUAUAAUAAGGACAGAUGUCACCGGACUAUUAUGUACACAAAUUAAAUACAAACACCUACCUCUACCACUAAUCACUACAAGCAGCACUACAGUACAAUCACUUACCUCCAGUAGUAAGGGAAGGUGUGUUGCCUGUCCUCAGGUGACACACACCACCACACACUGGCUGCACCUCUUCCUAAGGCAGCCAUGGCUUUGAAGGGAGUGUGAAUGGUUAUGAAUGAAAAGGAGAUACAUAUGUAUAGGUAGAAAUUUUGUUGGAUGUAUGUGGCUAUGCCAUUGUCAUUCAUCUCUAGAUCAUUGUAUGUUAAAAGAAGUGAAAAUUGUAGCAUCUAUUAAUCUUGCACAACAAACAUGGUUCAUUACAGUGUUAAAACAGCCAUGUCUCUUUACAACUUAAAUUUUCAUGAGGAAUUUCCCCACACAAGACAUUUAUCAAUCACUAUGAUCUUGGUACAGCUGUUGGCUACCUGCCAUGCACUAAUUAGACCACACCUGAAAGCUGUGCACCUGUCCUCCACCUGCCAGCCUCACGUGUGCUGCGCCAGCCUCCAUGCCACAUCUCCAGGAUAUUUAUCAUAUAUAGUUUGCAUGUAAUGGUAUUUUAUUUUUAUCUUUUGGGGGAACAGUCUGAAAGAGUCUAUGCAAUGAUUUAUUAUAUAACACAGUACAAAUAAUUUGUGUUCCGAUGGAAACGAUACUAUACUGAGGCCACAUACUAAAAAGUCACCAUUGCAGUUGUUUUCUGGAAGCCUUAGCAAAGAUCUGCAUCAUAAUCCAAUGACAUGUUUGUAUAAUAUCCUAUAUCUUUAACAGACCAAACUAGUUAAUCCCAAUGCAAACAUUUUUUAUACUCCUCUUCAAAGAAUGUGAGAGAUGAAUGAUUCCAGAUGGCUUAAAUAUUAGUUAUGAUACAAGUGACCAGUUUUCACCACAUGGGAGUAACCUAGUUCUGCUGUCUAUCUGUCUGUCUGUCUGUCUCCUCACACACCUGCCUCAGCCUCCUCACACCUUCCAAGAUGAGCAUUUACUGGGACGACCAUCAUUAGGAACAAAUAAAGUAUCACCGGAAUGGAGUUUCACUGGUUUUGGUGUGUGUAUGUAGCGCGCGCACACACACACACACACACACACA